UUUUGAUAUAACAUAUUAUAUAUAUAAGGGUAAACGACUGAAUACCCCCUUGGACUAUAUCGACUAUCGAAAUGUCCCUCAUAGAUUAUUUUUUCAGCCAAUUUAGCAUUCGAAUUAUUUUAAAUGGCCAAUUUAGCCCCUGCCGUCAAGUUUUUAGACUUCUAUUCAAUUUUCUGUUAAUUAUAAAGGUAAGUUUGUCAAUUUACAAUGACAAUACUAAAAAAUAAUAAAGAAAAUAUAAAAUCAUAAUUUCUUCUCUUUUAUUAUUAUUAUUCUUUUUCCUUUUUCCCUUUUCCUUUUCCUUCUUCUUCUUCCCUCUCUUUUCUUUCUUCUCUCCCCGUCUCUGGAGAGACUGCUACUCCGUUGGCUAAGUACAGGUUGUGGACCAGAACUUUGGUCUCUUUGGUUGUUGGGUUGUAGCUCAUCAAUCUGCCAUGGGGUCUGCCCCCUAAAAUACCUGAUGUUGCUCUUUCAUUGGAAAAUACCCAAUCUGCCAUGGGGUUGGGGUUGUAGAUCAUCAAUCUACAAUGUUGUAGAGGUGGGUCUUCUUCUCCACCUCCACUGUUGCUCUUUCACUGGGAAAAUAUCCAGCUCUUUCACUGAAAAAACCUUACAGAAGUGGGAUUGCAGAUAGAGGGUUUGGGGGAUGGGGUGGGGAAGACGUUGAUUCUAGGGUUUUUUGUUUUUGUUUUUUUGCUUCUUUAGUUUUUAAAGAUUUAAUUAGUUUUAACGGAAAAUUGGAUGAAACUACAUGGAAACUAACGGCAAGGGCUAAAUUGGCCAUUUAAAAUAGUAUGAUGGUUAAAUUGGCUGAAAAAGUAAUUCGGGUGGACAUUUCGAUAAGCGUUAUAGUUCAGGGGGGUUUUUGACAAUUUACCCUAUAUAUAAAGGCAAUAUACUCAAGUUAUAUAUAUAGACCUACACGGCAUAUGUAUAUACUCAAGUAAUAUUUAUAGAAUAUUAUUUGAUAUGAUAGUCUUAAUCUACUAUAUAUAUAAUCCACGAUUGCUAGAAGCAAUAACUGUCAAUUUAUUAUAUAUGGAUAUAUAUAUAUAUAUAUAAUUAUAUCAAAAUCAAAAAGUUGAUGAUGCUUUAACAUAAUAUAUAAAGCAAUCAUAUAUGAAGAGAAUCAUGACGGACAAAGAUAUUGAAGUGAUCAUUGUGCAUAUGUGCAUGCCUUUGCUUUCUCACCUGAAAUUAUCAUAACUCAAACUUUUUGAACAAUAGUAUAUACAAAAAAUGGUAUUGAAUUAUAAUAUUACAGUCUUGAUCUCUUGGACCCCUGUAGUCCAAGAGAUUUAUGGUCACUCACCGUUGGAUGUAAAUUCAACGGUUCACUCAUUUAUGACUUGAAUCGGGUAAUAAUCAUUUAUGUCAGAUUGCAUUUAUAUAUAUCAUUUUGAACCAUUGGAUUAAUAUCCAACGGUGGGUGACCACAAUCUCUUGGACUCCUGUGGUCCAAGAGAUCGGGACUGUAUAAUAUUAAUAUGAAAAGUUGAUGGUAAUAUAAUAUAUUAUAUUUAUUUGCUCUUGUAUUACAAACCACUAAUAAAAACAGACCUUUGGUAAUACUAAACCUAUUAUCAGUGAAAGACCGUUAGUAAUACUAACACCUUUCUUAUUUUAUUUAGUGGUGGUUUUAUCCCUACAUUUACUGUAUGGUGUAGGUUUAUUAUCCGUAUAGCAGUAUUUAUUUAAAAGUGUGGUGCAGGUUUAUCGUCCACACUACUGCCUUUAUUUUUAUUUAAAAGUAUGGAGUAGAAUUAGUGCUCAUACAAGCACAUUUACUUUAUUAUUUAAAGUAUGGUGCAGAAUUAACGUCCAUACAUGAGGUAAUUUAAUUUAUGAAUUCAUUUUACCGCACAUUUACAUUUAUUUAAAGUAUGGUGCGGGUUUAUGGUCUAUAUCAGCAAUUUAUUUUAUGGAUUAAUUGUGCGGUAUGAUGAGUUUUUACAGUAUACAAAUCAGGACCAGAAGCUCCUUGAUCCUUAUCAUACAACUACAUCUGGACUUGAAGAUCCUUGAUGAUAUAUUGAUAUGAGAGCUGACAGUCUCUCUGGUACUGUAUUUGUAAAUAAGUGACCGGACUUGAAGAUCCUUGAUCCUUGACAUGUAAAUAAGGACUUGGAGUUCCUUGAUGAUGUAACAAUACUGUAUUGGUUAAUAGUGCCGUACACAUGAAUAGUAACUAUACUGGCAAAUGUACUAUACGCAUGAAUAGACACAAAUUUCAUGACUUGAUGAAUAGUACCAU
rnacentral:lncRNA from 1 species